UGUUUUUAUAGUCUCUUUCCUCCAAUGGCUACAAAGUGCUGGACAUGCAGAGGAUACAGGAAAGAAUGAAGGAGCAAAUGAAUAGAGCCUCACAACACCCCUGUGAGGUAGGCCAGAUAUUAACAUCCUACAUAAGAUGAAUGUUGAUCCACUUUCCAGCUCAAAGCCAAAUUAAUGGAAGAUAGAAUGAUAUUUUACACAGGAGGUUGAAUUUUUCACUAGGACAUUUUCCUUUAAAUGACAACAUGUGUUUCCAGAGUUGAGGACAGCACUCUUGUCCAGCCGUACUGUGAUGCUAUUGUAAAUACACCACUGUAUUCAUGAGGAUUUCACCAGACAAGGAUUUUUCCAAAGGCUAUACAGCUUGAACGCUCACGACUUUGCAAUGUGUGGAGAUUGGGAAACUGUCACUCUGGAUUGUUCUUUUGUCCAUGCAAGAACAGAAGUAUGCCAGCUUCAUCUAAGAAAAUUCUAUAAGGGUUUUUCUCUGGAAAUUUACUGUUUAAGAAAUAUAGAGAUAGCCCAUAAAUCCUUUUGGAAAUGAACACUUAUGAUUGAAAUCAUUAUUUCUAAUAUCUGUUUUUAAA